rnacentral:sRNA from 1 species
CUGACCAUCAUGGUUCCCCCAAGCUAUCAUGUCCACCGAGGAACCAGCAUGACAACAAUGUUGAUUUUGCUUUAAAGUCUUCUUUCAUUCCAACAACAAAUGAUCAAUCUACGAUUAUUCGACUUUAACGUAACAAAACUAUUAUAUUCAUUUGCUCUACUAAGGGCGCAAGUUGUUGGUGUGUUCAUACUUCUUCUUGCAACAGUUAUUAACACGGGGAUGGAAACGAGCAUAGCAUUUACGGCCACCACCUGCAUCAUCGCAUGUUACCGUGUCAUUACGGGAAGACAAAGACGACUGAUAGUGGAAGCGAGUUGAUAACGUUGUCGAUAUUACUGAGAAUACACCUGGACAUGUCCAACGCUGCACACAUAAUAUUAGAUAUUGCAGUGAAGCAAAUAAUAUAC